AUACGUAGGGUGCAAGCGUUAAUCGGAAUUACUGGGCGUAAAGCGUGCGCAGGCGGUUUUGUAAGACAGAGGUGAAAUCCCCGGGCUCAACCUGGGAACUGCCUUUGUGACUGCAAGGCUAGAGUACGGCAGAGGGGGAUGGAAUUCCGCGUGUAGCAGUGAAAUGCGUAGAUAUGCGGAGGAACACCGAUGGCGAAGGCAAUCCCCUGGGCCAGUACUGACGCUCAUGCACGAAAGCGUGGGGAGCAAACAGGAUUAGAUACCCUGGUAGUCCACGCCCUAAACGAUGUCAACUGGUUGUUGGGUCUUCAUUGACUCAGUAACGAAGCUAACGCGUGAAGUUGACCGCCUGGGGAGUACGGCCGCAAGGUUGAAACUCAAAUGAAUUGACGGGG
rnacentral:rRNA from 1 species